rnacentral:rRNA from 1 species
CGCGGCCUAUCAGCUUGUUGGUGGGGUAAUGGCCUACCAGGGCAUCGACGGGUAGCUGGUCUGAGAGGAUGAUCAGCCACACUGGGACUGAGACACGGCCCAGACUCCUACGGGAGGCAGCAGUGGGGAAUCUUGCGCAAUGGGCGAAAGCCUGACGCAGCAACGCCGCGUGCGGGAAGAAGGCCUUCGGGUCGUAAACCGCUUUCAGCAGGAACGAAAAUGACGGUACCUGCAGAAGAAGGUGCGGCCAACUACGUGCCAGCAGCCGCGGUGACACGUAGGCACCAGGCGUUGUCCGGAUUCAUUGGGCGUAAAGAGCUCGUAGGCGGUCCAGCAAGUCGGGUGUGAAAACUCUGGGCUUAACCCAGAGCCUGCAUCCGAAACUGCUGUGACUUGAGUUCGGUAGGGGAGCGGGGAAUUCCUGGUGUAGCGGUGAAAUGCGCAGAUAUCAGGAGGAACACCGGUGGCGAAGGCGCCGCUCUGGGCCGACACUGACGCUGAGGAGCGAAAGCAUGGGUAGCAAACAGGAUUAGAUACCCUGGUAGUCCAUGCCGUAAACGUUGGGCACUAGGUGUGGGUUUCAACUAACGAGAUCCGCGCCGUCGCUAACGCAUUAAGUGCCCCGCCUGGGGAGUACGG